rnacentral:lncRNA from 1 species
UUUUUUCUAGAUUCUACAUCUUCAUGUCUUUCUGUAACUGAUUCCUCUGGGAAAAAAAAAUCAAACCAAAAAUAAAUGAAAAAAAAACAAAACAAAAAAGUUUAAAACCAUGUUUUUAAAGAAGUUUAAAAAGUCAAUAUGAAGGUGCAGGCAGUGCAUUCUGUGGAAAAAGUCAUUACAAAAAUACAAGCACACAUAGAAAUGAAGAGAUUUCCCAAGAUCAUACAAGAUCCUGAGUCAAUGAGUUUUGUUUUUAAAUCAGUGUUAUGGAAAUCUGCUGAAAAUGAUCAAAUACUCCUUCUAACCUGGAAAAGCUGAGAGAUUGAAAACCUGAAGGUGUCCGAAGAUAGUGUAAGCUAAAAUAUUGCUGGGAUGCAUAUUUCACUUAGGCUUGCUUGCUGUAUGCUGGCCAACCUUGAUUAAGUGUCAAGAAUAUUGAGUAAUCUGGAUUCUGGAGAGAAUGUUUUAACAGGGUGAAACAGCCAUCUGAAAGCUGAUUUGCCCUUGAUGUAAAAUUUAUUGCAUCUAUAUGCUAAUGACCUUAUUUCUGCAUCUUCAGCCAUUACACAAAUUUAUACUCUCAUUGAAUUUCACCAACUAAAAUCAUGUUGUUUCAAAUUAGAAAUACCCCAGAAAGGGAGAAUUUGGGUAUGAAAAUAAUGGCAUUGGAAAUUUAGAGGAUGACAGAUUUCUUUUUCCACUGUAUCCCACUCCAGUGACAAGAAUAAUGAUGUAGCUUGACAAUAGAUGAAGUCAGAUACCGUGUAUGUCCUUUUGCAUCUACUGCUAUCUUAACAGUAAAGAAAGUAAACUUAAAUGUAAGGAAAGAAUUUUGGUUUGUAGCUUGGAAAUAAACUUUUUUAAGUUUGAGUUAUAACA